CCAGAGAACUUAGCAGAGAUGCUUUGGUGCCUUCGGGAACUCUGAGACAGGUGCUGCAUUGGCUGUCGUCAGCUCGUGUUGUGAAAUGUUGGGUUAAGUCCCGCAAGAGCGCAACCCCUAUCCUUUGUUGCCAGCGAUUCGGUCGGGAACUCAAAGGAGACUGCCGGUGAUAAACCGGAGGAAGGUGGGGAUGACGUCAAGUCAUCAUGGCCCUUACGAGUAGGGCUACACACGUGCUACAAUGGCGCAUACAAAGAGAAGCGACCUCGCGAGAGCAAGCGGACCUCAUAAAGUGCGUCGUAGUCCGGAUUGGAGUCUGCAACUCGACUCCAUGAAGUCGGAAUCGCUAGUAAUCGUAGAUCAGAAUGCUACGGUGAAUACGUUCCCGGGCCUUGUACACACCGCCCGUCACACCAUGGGAGUGGGUUGCAAAAGAAGUAGAUAGCUUAACCUUCGGGAGGGCGUUUACCACUUUGUGAUUCAUGACUGGGGUGAAGUCGUAACAAGGUAGGCGUAGCGAG
rnacentral:rRNA from 1 species